CUGAGAGCUCCUGAGUCAUAGAUGUUUGCAGAAACUGUGGGCUGGACACUGCAGUCAGGGCCAGAGUCGGGCUGGCCUAGAGGGCAGCAGGUCCUGGAUGUCUGAGGAGCUGAGGCAGUGGCUGGAUAUGGAGUCCCUUCUGCUGGCUGAAAAGGGUCCCCACUCUCUCCUGGGGCUCCAGCCCAUGGCAGAGGAGUUCAGGGCACAGGCUCAGUCGUCGUGGCUCACAGGCUUAGCUGCUCCUUGGCAUGUGAGAUCUUCCAAGAUCAGGAAUCGAACUCGAGUCUCCUGCAUCGGCAGGCAGAUUCUUAUCCACUGUACCACCAGGGAAGCCCAGUCUGACCCAUUUUGUGCAUCCUCCCAGAACUGCACCCUCAGCUCAGAGGAGACUCCGCCUGACCAUCUGAAGUUCAUGGUCCAGAGGCUUCUCCGAAUCCUGGCUGCUUAGCAGGAGGCAAGAGCAGAAGCAAGGAGCCUAGUAAGCAGAGGCUACUGUCCCUGUCAAGCGAGAGACGAGAUUGGCCACGGAGGUGGUGGCUGCAGAGGCGGUGGCUGCAGAGCUGGCAGCCAGGGAGAAGGUAGGAACAUUUUGUAUAUUUUGAAGGUGAAGUUGAAAGAUCUAGAUGGAGACGUGAGAGUCCAGGCUGAUUCAAAGACUUUUUGGCCUGAGCAGCUGGAAGGAUGGGACUGUCUCAACUGAGCUGAGCAAAACGAAGGAGUGGCUCCAGAUCCAAGGUCUUUUCAGCCACACUCCACACCCCCCACCCCAACCCAGUGGUCG
ensembl:lncRNA